rnacentral:rRNA from 1 species
CGAGGUAAAGAGUCAUGGAGGUAGAGCACUGUUUGGACUAGGGGCCCUUCUCGGGUUACCGAAUUCAGAUAAACUCCGAAUGCCAUGUACUUAUACUCGGGAGUCAGACUGCGAGUGAUAAGAUCCGUAGUCGAAAGGGAAACAGCCCAGACCACCAGUUAAGGUCCCCAAAUAUAUGUUAAGUGGAAA